UAAUACGGUUCCGGAAAAAUCCAGUCAGAAGUGGUUCACGGAGUUUUCACAAUAACUGCUUCUCAUGAACCGAAGCUGCGCGACGUCUCCUCCUGAAAGUUGGAUUACCGUGCACUUCUGGAUCACAGGCUAUUCGCAGCUGGACACAUCCUUCUACACUGUAUGCAAACAUGCAACAUCAUUACACACAGUACAAGGCAUAUGAGGAGCAAAGGAACCCAGGCAGUAGCAUCGUUUCACAAUGUUUCAAUCACCAUCAUCAGUGGAUGCCUUUGCCGUCCGUAGCCUGAGAUUUCAGAUUUGCAGCAAAAAAUGUGACUUUCCCAUUUAUUGGAAUGCUGUGCAGGUUGUACCUUGCAGCCAUCCAUUACAAUGUCACCAAGCCAUAACAAAAGCAGGAGAGGGAAAGUACAAGGCUAUGUUCCCAAAACACACAAGUGACAUACUUUAUGUGGAUGAUGUGAUCAGGCUUGUGUUUGAUGAGGUAUUUGAAGAUAAGCUGAAGGAAACCCCGAUUCCAAUGGACCUGGCAUCACAGUUUGAGAGACCUUCAAAGGAGGACGUGAUUGCAUGCCAUCUUCAGUGCAGG